rnacentral:rRNA from 1 species
UACAGAGGGUGCGAGCGUUGUCCGGAAUCACUGGGCGUAAAGGGCGCGUAGGCGGCUCGAUAAGGUUGCGGUGAAAGCCCGGGGCUCAACCCCGGGUCGGCCGUGGCAACUGUUGGGCUGGAGCACUGUAGAGGCGGGUGGAAUUCCGGGUGUAGCGGUGGAAUGCGUAGAGAUCCGGAAGAACACCGGUGGCGAAGGCGGCCCGCUGGGCAGUAGCUGACGCUGAGGCGCGACAGCGUGGGGGAGCAAACAGGAUUAGAAACCCC